UGCAAAGGCAUAAGCGUGCUUGACUGCAAGAUCGACGGAUCAAGCAGGUACGAAAGUAGGUCUUAGUGAUCCGGUGGUUCUGUAUGGAAGGGCCAUCGCUCAACGGAUAAAAGGUACUCCGGGGAUAACAGGCUGAUACCGCCCAAGAGUUCAUAUCGACGGCGGUGUUUGGCACCUCGAUGUCGGCUCAUCACAUCCUGGGGCUGUAGUCGGUCCCAAGGGUAUGGCUGUUCGCCAUUUAAAGUGGUACGCGAGCUGGGUUCAGAACGUCGUGAGACAGUUCGGUCCCUAUCUGCCAUGGGCGUUGGAAGUUUGAGAGGGGCUGCUCCUAGUACGAGAGGACCGGAGUGGACGAACCUCUGGUGUUCCGGUUGUCACGCCAGUGGCAUUGCCGGGUAGCUAUGUUCGGAAGCGAUAACCGCUGAAAGCAUCUAAGCGGGAAGCGCGCCUCAAGAUGAGACUUCCCGGGGCACAAGCCCCCUAAAGGAACCAUAUAGACUAUGUGGUUGAUAGGUCAGGUGUGUAAGUACAGCAAUGUAUUGAGCUAACUGAUACUAAUGAUCCGUGCGGCUUGACCAUAUAACCUCA
rnacentral:rRNA from 1 species